UGGGGAAUUUUGGACAAUGGGCGAAAGCCUGAUCCAGCAAUGCCGCGUGUGUGAAGAAGGCCUUCGGGUUGUAAAGCACUUUUGUCCGGAAAGAAAUCCUUGGCUCUAAUACAGUCGGGGGAUGACGGUACCGGAAGAAUAAGCACCGGCUAACUACGUGCCAGCAGCCGCGGUAAUACGUAGGGUGCAAGCGUUAAUCGGAAUUACUGGGCGUAAAGCGUGCGCAGGCGGUUUGCUAAGACCGAUGUGAAAUCCCCGGGCUCAACCUGGGAACUGCAUUGGUGACUGGCAGGCUAGAGUAUGGCAGAGGGGGGUUAGAAUUCCACGUGUAGCAGUGAAAUGCGUAGAGAUGUGGAGGAAUACCGAUGGCGAAGGCAGCCCCCUGGGCCAAUACUGACGCUCAUGCACGAAAGCGUGGGGAGCAAAGCAGGAUUAGAUACCCUGGUAGUCCACGCCCUAAACGAUGUCAACUAGUUGUUGGGGGACUUCAUUUUCCUUAGUAACGUAGCUAACGCGUGAAGUUGACCGCCUGGGGAGUACGGUCGCAAGAUUAAAAC
rnacentral:rRNA from 1 species